UUCGCAAUGCCCGAAAGGGUGACGAUGCGACGCCGCGUGAGCGAAGAAGGCCCUAGGGUUGUAAAGCUCUGUCGAGGGUUAUGAAAUAUAGAUGGGUUAAUACCCCAUUUAUUUGACAAAAGCCCAAAAGGAAGCCACGGCUAACUCUGUGCCAGCAGCCGCGGUAAUACAGAGGUGGCGGGCGUUGUUCGGUAUUAUUGGGCGUAAAGAGCACGUAGGUGGUUUUGUAAGUCAGGUGUGAAAGCCUUCUGUUCAAAGGAAGAACGGCAUCUGAAACUGCAGAUCUUGAGUGUAGGAGGGGAGAGUGGAACUUCUGGUGGAGCGGUGAAAUGCGUAGAUAUCAGAAGGAACGUCGGCGGCGAAAGCGACUCUCUGGCCUAUUACUGACACUGAGGUGCGAAAGUUAGGGGAGCAAACGGGAUUAGAUACCCCGGUAGUCCUAACCGUAAACGAUGGGCACUAAGUAGAGGGGUUUU
rnacentral:rRNA from 1 species